rnacentral:tRNA from 1 species
GUCUGGCUGGCUCAGUUAGUAGAGCAUGUGACUCUUGAUCUCAGGGUUGUGAGUUCAAGCCCCAUGCUGAACA